AUAUUGGUCAAUGGGCGAGAGCCUGAACCAGCCAUGCCGCGUGCAGGAAGACGGCCUUCUGGGUUGUAAACUGCUUUUAUACGGGAAGAAAAAGCUCAUGCGUGAGUAACUGACGGUACCGUACGAAUAAGCACCGGCUAACUCCGUGCCAGCAGCCGCGGUAAUACGGAGGGUGCAAGCGUUGUCCGGAUUUACUGGGUUUAAAGGGUACGUAGGCGGCUUGUUAAGUCAGUGGUGAAAUACACGAGCUCAACUGGUGAAGKGCCAUUGAUACUGACAGGCUUGAGUGUUGUAUAGGUAGGCGGAAUUGAUGGUGUAGCGGUGAAAUGCAUAGAUACCAUCAAGAACACCGAUUGCGAAGGCAGCUUACUGGGCAAACACUGACGCUGAUGUACGGAAAGCGUGGGGAGCGAACAGGAKUAGAUACCCUGGUAGUCCACGCCGUAAACGAUGAUCACUCGAUGCUUGUAGGUUACURUGAGUGCCAAGGAACCGAUAA
rnacentral:rRNA from 1 species